rnacentral:rRNA from 1 species
GACGUAGGGCGCGAGCGUUGUCCGGAGUUACUGGGCGUAAAGCGCACGUAGGCGGCUUUCUAAGUCGGGGGUGAAAUCCUGGAGCUCAACUCCAGAACUGCCUUCGAUACUGGAGAGCUUGAGUCCGGGAGAGGUGAGUGGAGCUGCGAGUGUAGAGGUGAAAUUCGUAGAUAUUCGCAAGAACACCAGUGGCGAAGGCGACUUCCUGGAGUAAUACUGACACUGAGGUGCGAAAGCGUGGGGAUCAAACAGG